GAUGAACGCUGGCAACGUGCCUAAUACAUGCAAGUCGAGCGAACAGACAAGGAGCUUGCACCUCUGACGUUAGCGGCGGACGGGUGAGUAACACGUGGAUAACCUACCUAUAAGACUGGGAUAACUUCGGGAAACCGGAGCUAAUACCGGAUAAUAUAUUGAACCGCAUGGUUCAAUAGUGAAAGACGGUUUUGCUGUCACUUAUAGAUGGAUCCGCGCCGCAUUAGCUAGUUGGUAAGGUAACGGCUUACCAAGGCAACGAUGCGUAGCCGACCUGAGAGGGUGAUCGGCCACACUGGAACUGAGACACGGUCCAGACUCCUACGGGAGGCAGCAGUAGGGAAUCUUCCGCAAUGGGCGAAAGCCUGACGGAGCAACGCCGCGUGAGUGAUGAAGGUCUUCGGAUCGUAAAACGCUGUUAUUAGGGAAGAACAAAUGUGUAAGUAACUAUGCACGUCUUGACGGUACCUAAUCAGAAAGCCACGGCUAACUACGUG
rnacentral:rRNA from 1 species